rnacentral:rRNA from 1 species
AGUGAACGCUGGCGGCGUGCUUAACACAUGCAAGUCGAACGAGAACGGGUUAUAGCUUGCUAUAAUUGUCAGCUAAGUGGCGCACGGGUGAGUAAUGUAUAGGUAAUAUGCCUCUUACUAAGGGAUAACAAAUGGAAACGUUUGCUAAUACCUUAUACUCCUUAUUAACAGAAGUUAAUAAGGGAAAGAUUUAUUGGUAAGAGAUUAGCCUGUAUUGUAUCAGUUAGUUGGUGGGGUAAUGGCUUACCAAGACUAUGACACAUAACUGGUUUGAGAGGAUGAUCAGUCACACUGGAACUGAGACACGGUCCAGACUCCUACGGGAGGCAGCAGUGGGGAAUAUUGCACAAUGGACGAAAGUCUGAUGCAGCAACGCCGCGUGGAGGAUGACACAUUUCGGUGCGUAAACUCCUUUUAUAUGAGAAGAUAAUGACGGUAUUAUAUGAAUAAGCACCGGCUAACUCCGUGCCAGCCGCCGCGGUAA